GAUGAACGCUGGCGGCGUGCCUAAUACAUGCAAGUCGAGCGAACAGAUGAGGAUCUUGCUCCUCUGACGUUAGCGGCGGACGGGUGAGUAACACGUGGAUAACCUACCUAUAAGACUGGGAUAACUUCGGGAAACCGGAGCUAAUACCGGAUAAUAUAUUGAACCGCAUGGUUCAAUAGUGAAAGACGGUUUUGCUGUCACUUAUAGAUGGAUCCGCGCUGCAUUAGCUAGUUGGUAAGGUAACGGCUUACCAAGGCAACGAUGCGUAGCCGACCUGAGAGGGUGAUCGGCCACACUGGAACUGAGACACGGUCCAGACUCCUACGGGAGGCAGCAGUAGGGAAUCUUCCGCAAUGGGCGAAAGCCUGACGGAGCAACGCCGCGUGAGUGAUGAAGGUCUUCGGAUCGUAAAACUCUGUUAUUAGGGAAGAACAAAUGUGUAAGUAGCUAUGCACGUCUUGACGGUAACUAAUCAGAAAGCAACGGCUAACUACGUG
rnacentral:rRNA from 1 species